rnacentral:rRNA from 1 species
GAUGAACGCUAGCGGCAGGCCUAAUACAUGCAAGUCGAACGGUGUAGCAAUACACAGUGGCGCACGGGUGCGUAACACGUAUGCAACCUACCUUACAUUGGGGGAUAGCCUUUCGAAAGGGAGAUUAAUACCGCAUAAGACAGUAACUAGGCAUCUUGUAGCUGUUAAAGAUUUAUCGAUGUAAGCUGGGCAUGCGUCCAAUUAGUUAGUUGGCGAGGUGAUGGCUCACCAAGACGAUGAUUGGUAGGGGAACUGAGAGGUCAAUCCCCCACACGGGCACUGAGAUACGGGCCAGACUCCUACGGGAGGCAGCAGUAGGGAAUAUUGGGCAAUGGGCGCAAGCCUGACCCAGCCAUGCCGCGUGCAGGAAGAAGGCGUUAUGCGUUGUAAACUGCUUUUAUACAGGAAGAAACGACCCUUGCGAGGGGCAUUGACGGUACUGUAUGAAUAAGCACCGGCUAACUCCGUGCCAGCCGCCGCGGUAACAC